rnacentral:rRNA from 1 species
UACGGGGGGGGCAAGCGUUGUUCGGAAUUACUGGGCGUAAAGGGCGCGUAGGCGGUUCGCUAAGUUGAAUGUGAAAACUCUGGGCUUAACCCAGAGCCUGCAUUCAAUACUGGCGGGCUAGAGUUCUGGAGGGGAUAGCGGAAUUCCUGGUGUAGCGGUGAAAUGCGUAGAUAUCGCCUGGAACGCCGAAGGUGAAAACAGUCUGCUGGGGGCGCACCGACGCUGAGACACGAAAGCCAGGGGAGCGAACGGG